rnacentral:lncRNA from 11 species
GGAAGAUAGAGUAGCAUCUGAGAUUGGUUACUGUGCUACUUUCCCCCCUUUCUUUGCUGCCAUACAACAGCACUGAAUUUUCACCAUGACUUUUAGCUAAGCCAUUCCUGCCUGGACCAAACUGAAGACCAAGUUCUGUUUUUUAAAGAGCAAAAAAAUAAGCAAGGACCUGGACCGAGGAAGAAGAACCAGGGACAUCCAUGAAAGCAUGAGGUGGCUCUUGGGCAGCAGCUGGAAGAAAUUUGGACAUGCGGACAGGGGAAACUAUGACUGGUUAACUAGUGAGCCAGGGGUGCCAUUGAUGGAAGCACAGCUGCAGAGUCAGCACAAAACAAGCUCAACCAAAGAAGAUAUAGAGCCAUUCUUAUGCAUCAUCCUGCCAGCUACCAUGAUGCUCUUCCUGGCAUUCCUGCUGCUCUUCCUCUACAGACGCUGCCAGCAUCGCAGCCCACAGGCGCAGAUCUUCAGCAUUGACCUCCCAGAAUCCCUUCCGGAGCACGAGGUGACUGACUUCCUCUCUGUGCUGCCCUGGAGCACCGAACAAAGCUUUCACUACUCCACGCUUCUCCCCGAGGCGGCCUUUCUCACUGUAUGCUUGCCUCCAUCUUACGAAGAGGCCACCAUGAAAGCCUCCAUGGAAGAGGACCACAUUCAGCUCUUUCGGGACCCAGUGCCUCCUUAUGAAGAGACCAAACAACAGUAAACCCAUGAAAAAAGCUUUUGUUUGGAGCUUGCAUCCUUUGUUUCUCUUUCUUAAGAAGAAGAAAAAUCCCCAUAAACCAGGGAAUAGUUAUAAGCACAAAAGCACUGACUGAUUAAUGUAUUCAGUUACAACAUUUUGAAAUAGCAAAGAAAACAAACAGGUCCACCAGGCUGCUGUGUAAAAUGAGUGCUCUGCCUCAAACUUUUCUGCACAGAAUUGUUUUAAAAUGGCUCCAUCUGAGUUAUGCUGGAGAAUGGAGAUAUUAUUUCAAAGGCAGACACCAAAUUUCUGAAAGGGCUUAAUCUUUUUUUAAACAUGCACUACCUUUUGGGACAUUUUAUGAACUUAGGCAAAAAUUUAUUGUGAAAAUACAAGUGGUGAAAUGAGAGUAAAUAAUAAUAUGAAAAAAACCAAAACAAAACCAUAAUUAAAACACUGAUGGUUGCCCCUGUAGUCCAGGCCUCCCAUUGUUCUUAGGGCACCAGUGAAAGUUUGAAUGCAAGUAAAGGAAAUCCACAAAGACCCAGACAUUAGAUGGGAGACAUGAUAGCACAAAAAGAUGUACCAAUGUGGUGGGAGAACGAAAAGAUUUCACAUUGUUUCCUAAAUCUUGAUGAAAAAAACAUCACACCUGUAAUCCCUCCAAUCUGGGCAUAAAAUGUAGUAAACAAAGCUACAUUAAAACAAUGAAGUUUUUUUUUAAAUCAGCUUUUGGUUUGCUUUUUAACCUCAAAUGAUAGCAUUAGAUUGCUUUGCUCAUUAGCACAUUAGGAAAAUGUCUAUGUAGCAACACUUUGCUAAUGUUGAAACUAUACUCUAUGUGUGUGUGUGCAUGGGCACAUGCAUGCUUUCGUAUCACUUGUGUGUGUGUGUUUUCAGGUCACUUGUCAACUUAUGGCAAUCUCAUGAAUCUCAUAGGGUUUUUUUAGAGAUAAUAUUCAGAGGUGAUUUGUCACUAGAGCCGGCCCUCA